GGACUAAAUACACAAAGUUCUGGCCAAGGAGUACUGUCCUUUUACAAAAAUUUUAAGAAACAAAAUUUAUAAAUGAAAAUUGAUAGUCAUGUACAGACUUUGAUUUGCAAUCAUCUAACUUUGUACCUGACAGGACACAAUCAUAUAAUAUUUCUUCAUUUUUUUCUUUGCAGGGUACUUACUGUAGUUGAUUGAGUUGGGUUUUUUUAUGUGUUUUUUUUUGUUUGUUUGUUUGUUUUUUUUUGUUUUUUGGUUUUACUAAGUAUUUUAUUACUUUUUUUAGCCUUUUUUAAUCUGAUGAACAGUUCUGAUGACGCAAUGUGUUGUCUUUGUGAUAUCUGUAGAAUUUUGUGAUAUCUGUAGUUUGAAUACUAAUACCACACGAACAUUAACAGUUUUCUUGAAAUCUCACUUCAAAAGUGUUCAAGUCUUUACACAUUUCAUCAUUUGAUGUUUAGCUAAUGACAAUUGUCAAUGUUUACAUGAAAUCAAUUUAUAUUAAACGUUGUUUCAUUCAU
rnacentral:misc_RNA from 1 species